rnacentral:rRNA from 1 species
CUGAAUGAGAUUUUAACACGAAGUGAGUGGCGGACGGGUGAGUAACACGUGGGUAACCUGCCCAGAAGCAGGGGAUAACACCUGGAAACAGAUGCUAAUACCGUAUAACAGAGAAAACCGCCUGGUUUUCUUUUAAAAAUGGCUCUGCUAUCACUUCUGGAUGGACC